UUGAGCUAUUGCAUAUUUACAAUAUUUGAUACAGUUUUUUAUAGUGUAUAUUAAUGUUUUUCGGUAUAUUGGUGCAAUAUUGAUUAAUUAUUAAUACGUAAAUAUUACGGCGAAAUUAUUGCAAUAAUCGCGAACGUGUCGCGUUUUAUUCGCGCGAUUUAUUUUAAUAAUGAACAUGUGAAAUAUAUUGUGAAAUUGUGUAUAAAAUGUGUUGCAUGCGCAAAAUAAUAAAAGAGAAAGUGAUUUGUUAAUAAUUGUGUCAAUUUGUGAAAAUGAAAAUUGUGUCUGAUUGCGUAGAUAAUUUGCAAUAAUGUGGUAAAAGUGUUUUUAAUACACAAGUGCCGGGAUAACCUUGGGGAUAAAUAUUAUUUGAUAAUAUUUCUUAAUAUUUAAAUAAUCGUGGCCAUCGAUCUUCCUCCAAAAUCUCAUCAUCCGAUGCAACAAUUCAAAUAGUUUUCACUGAUUUUUUUCGGUUUGCAAACAAAUUGCAAAUAUGGAACACACUCACGUCGAAAAAAUCAGAUGUUCCGGACCGUGUGUAACGAGAUAGAGAUGAGGGCUGACCAAUAGGACAUUUGCGACAUCUAGUGGCGAGUGACGGAAUGAACUAAGCUGGGGGUUUAAGGAAGAAACCGUCGAGCGGAUUUAAUGAGGAGCAAGGAAAAGGAACAUGAGGAAGGAUAUCAAAAAGGGUGGAUGGAACUACAGGGUGUUCAAACAAACAAAACUCACAUGAAAUUUUGCAAAAAAAUACUUUUUGGUUAUGUACACUGGAGCGAAAGAACUUUUCCUCAUCCUGUCCAUUAAAUCUGCUCGCCUAGCGUGUAAAAUCACAUAGCAAAGGACGAACAUGAAAAAGGAAAACUCCGGACAAGCGGAUUAAAGACUAACUCUGAAAGCGCCCCGAAGACAUCUUUAGACUGUUCCGUCUCGUCAGGAAAAGCUCUCUCAGUGCACACACGGAUUGCAAACUGCUUUAACGAACCGUGAAUAGCAGCGCUGAGCAAAGAAGCAUUGAAAAGCUUUAUAAAAGAGUUUCCAUUGGAGAUCCAACCCUCUUGUUGACCGUGAAUGGAGCGAAACGUGCGCUUAAUGGAUUUUCAAAUGAGAAUUUAAUCUAGGAAUAUGUGUUGGAGAAGGGGAUGAUUUGUAACUGCCAGUGGAUAUUUACGAACGCACAUGAAAAUAAUAAAAAACAGAAUCGACGAAUCGAAAUAAAAAUAAAGCUUCGAACGGCGAGCGAAAAAAAGGCGCGCCAGCACGAAAAAAAAGAGCGUCGGGAACAAAAUAAUAAAUAAGCAAAAAAAAACUGUUGCAUACGUCAUACCCACCCUCUUCUCGUGUGCAUUCCGCUAGCUCUGUCCAUGGCGCUGCGUCGAAGCGAGCGCGCACUCGAAGAGGAGGCGACGCGCUGUUUGUUCGCGGAGUUUUAAAAACGCGCAUUCCAAAACAAUAAUACUCAAUCAAUGAUAGCAAUGAGCCAAUAACCAAAUGGGGACGGUGUUACACGCGCUCGCAUGCAUGUGCGGGGCAGCCGGAGAGGCGGAGGACAGGAGGGAGGGGAAUCGGCGGCGGGCGUCCCGAUGUGACAACCCUGUUUACAAAUGUAGCGAUUGAUUCUUCCCAAUGUUGUGUUUCGUGCCGGCCGCACUGCCGGUGUCGGUGAUCAGACUGUUUGGUCAUUGUGACAUCUAAUGUGUUAAGUGUCUCUUGGUAACAUCUCAGAAAGUCACCUUCAAAGUAAAUCAAUUUCCCGCUUCGAGGAUGCAGUGAAACACUGAAAAAAUUUUUAGUGAAUUUUUGGACCGAGAAGGGUGUGGUUACACGAAGCGAGUAGAUUGUGUGUAAGUUAUGCAAGUGAAAAUGGCCGUCGCUCGUGCACGACGGGUUCUCUUCCGUUGCUACGCGCGCCGUUGAUGAAAAACGCAAGGGGUGGAGUUUUGCUCCGGCCGCCGCUGGACGCCGCUGCCAUGUGCGAUGUGCGAUGGAAAGCCGCAAAAGUGCGCUCCCUCUGUGUGUGUCAGUUUUCAGACUGACUCUUGCGGCGCUGUUCCCGUUGGAUAACAUUCAAAGAAAAAAAGAAGCUCGAUCUAAACUCGGCGAUGCCAUUGCAGGGUGUCGGUUGGACGCAGCCUAAAAUGACAGAACACAAAGCGACGCCGACGCCCGAGGAACAGCAAAAAAGGGAGCGAAACAGAGCGAAGGCGGGGGCGAAAAUAGCGACAAGCGGCACACCGUUAUUUGCAUAAAUUUGCGCUGCGCCCAAAAAUAGUACUCCGGAAAAGAUAAUUAAAAGAGCCGAAUGAGUGACACAAGUAUCCAGCGUUCGUAGAGUCACUAGACUAGAACGAGAUAUUUUAUGCAGCUAACAAGUUUCGUUGUUGUGUUUUUUGCUUUUGGUGAUUGGCAUGGCUGAAAAGUUAUUUCCUCACUUUUUGUGGGAUCUAUUCUUGAAUCUUUAAUACUAGCCACUGACAAAACUAGAAACAAGUUAGAGGAUUUUUUUAUGAUCAAACUUUUUACCACAAAAACUAAAAUUGAAAAAUAAAAAGAAUAAAUUUAAUAAAUUGUA